CUCUGAGGGCUCAGGAGGACCCAGGGGCUCGGGCCGGGGCUCAGUGUCCCCCCGGUGUCCCCCCGGUGCCAGAGGACCAGGCUGCAGCUCACGUCCCCCCCUGCACCAGAAGCGGCUUUGGGACAGAGGAAUCCUCGGUUCGUUUUGGCGAAAUGAUGGCGUUUUCGGCAAAAUAUCAUCGGAACGAUAACGGAAAAGCGAGGAACGCUUUCGGCUUUGCCAUGCAACCCUUCCGGACUCCGAAGCUCACUGUUCUCAAGCAGAGAUGCAAGGAAAAAAAAAUAAGAAGAAUCCAACCCUGCGUUUAAAUAAAGACGGGUGAUAAUUUCAUUAUCAGGAUAAGACUUUGGGUGGGAAAAACGCUGGAGAAUUUUCGCAUCGCUGGAGGGUGUCUGCGCUCUCACGACCGGGGAUACUGCAGUCGUUUGGAAAGGACGAAGAGGUAGGAACCUGGAGCUGCUUAGGAUCGGGAAUGACUGGAUUAUAGCUUCCAACUAAAGAAAAAAACAUCAAGAAUCAUGCAUUUUAAAAACAGUUUAUUCAACGGCCAAGGACAAUGAUCCGGCACAAUGUAACGGCAGAUAUAAAUAUAACCUUAUAUAAGUGGUUGACCCUUGUCAUUAUUAUUUUUAAUAGCUUCAUACCUAAUAUUUUAACCAUUUCCCCCCGCAGAACCGACUCUGCGAAUUAUAUUUUUUUUCUCCCCUCCCUUUUUCUUUCAUUUUUUUAAAAUUUAUUUUCUAAAUCUUUUUUUUUUAAUUCUUUUUUUCUUUUUUUUUUUCCUUC
rnacentral:lncRNA from 1 species